rnacentral:lncRNA from 1 species
UGUGUGUGUGUGUGUGUGUGUGUGUGUGUGUGUGAGUGUGAGUGUAAGUGUGAGUGUGUGAGUGUGUGAGUAAGCGAGAUGAUACUUUCAAGAUCAGCAUGAUAUCAAAGAGAACUAUAACAUGAUCAGUGAUGAUAAUGGCUGAUGAAGAGUAAGACCACCAUUAUUGACAUGGAUGGAUACAGUAGCUGCUAAUCAUGACAACUUGUGUUUUAACAAAGCUAUGUGUGGCAAAAGGAUAACCAACUCCAUGCAAUUGGAACUUUUUUUUUAUCAGUUUAAUUGAACAGACUGCUAAUCACUAGGCCAUAUAAACCACUUAAACUACCUUAUCUCUAUUGUAUUAGCGCAACAAAUCCAACACAAAAGAUAUUAGGACACCUAAGGUCUUCCAAACAAUAUGAAUAAAGGAAAGUUCGCAUUUUCCUUCUUUUAAUGUCCACGGUCAGUAAAUUUAAUUAAUAAAGUAUUUCUGACACCAAAUAACUGAGUCCAGUACGAAAAACUAAUCCAACCAAGCUUUAAGGGCAGAGUGUAAAUUACCCUAGCAGCAAUAUGAAAUUUCAGAGGAAGAAACACUAAAUAUCACGUGCACCGAAUAGGCAAUCCUCUUUGUUUAAGACAAAAAAGUAACAAACCACUUACAUUUCCACAGCUAAAUAUGUAUGCAUUGAACAAUGCUUUUGCCUCCGACAUUCCAAAUAUUACCUAAGAAUGAUACACUAUAGAAUUUUCCAGAAUUGUCCUACCAUUUAAUACUACCAGAAAACUAAAUUUCUAGGCUUGUCUGAAAAAUAAAAAUCAAACUUACAUUUCCAGCUUGGAUUAAUUCAAAUCAAACCCUAGAGGCCUAAACAAACGCAAGGGCAAAUCCAACAUACUUUAACCACAUCCCUGAUGCAUUGUUUCGUUCAACAAUUGAUCAUAUUCCAUCAAUUUUAGGAAAUAAACCCACCAGAUAUUGAAAACUCUAACAAUAAGACAGUAUAGGAGAGAUGAUAUAUACCGAAGGAGAUAAAAAUUAGUAAAAACUAACAAUAAACUAUGAACCUGUACCCAGUCUCGCUGAAUAUCUGAUGGAACCUUCAGUGGCUAAAUUCGAGAGGUUAAACAACCCUCAAAUUCGAAACCCCUAGGUCAUAGAUUUUG